GGCGUGCUUACCAUGCAAGUCGAACGAUGAACCUCCUUCGGGAGGGGAUUAGUGGCGAACGGGUGAGUAACACGUGGGCAAUCUGCCCUUCACUCUGGGACAAGCCCUGGAAACGGGGUCUAAUACCGGAUACCACUCUCGCAGGCAUCUGUGAGGGUUGAAAGCUCCGGCGGUGAAGGAUGAGCCCGCGGCCUAUCAGCUUGUUGGUGAGGUAACGGCUCACCAAGGCGACGACGGGUAGCCGGCCUGAGAGGGCGACCGGCCACACUGGGACUGAGACACGGCCCAGACUCCUACGGGAGGCAGCAGUGGGGAAUAUUGCACAAUGGGCGAAAGCCUGAUGCAGCGACGCCGCGUGAGGGAUGACGGCCUUCGGGUUGUAAACCUCUUUCAGCAGGGAAGAAGCGAAAGUGACGGUACCUGCAGAAGAAGCGCCGGCUAACUACGUGCCAGCAGCCGCGGUAAUACGUAGGGCGCAAGCGUUGUCCGGAAUUAUUGGGCGUAAAGAGCUCGUAGGCGGCUUGUCACGUCGGGUGUGAAAGCCCGGGGCUUAACCCCGGGUCUGCAUUCGAUACGGGCUAGCUAGAGUGUGGUAGGGGAGAUCGGAAUUCCUGGUGUAGCGGUGAAAUGCGCAGAUAUCAGGAGGAACACCGGUGGCGAAGGCGGAUCUCUGGGCCAUUACUGACGCUGAGGAGCGAAAGCGUGGGGAGCGAACAGGAUUAGAUACCCUGGUAGUCCACGCCGUAAACGGUGGGAACUAGGUGUUGGCGACAUUCCACGUCGUCGGUGCCGCAGCUAACGCAUUAAGUUCCCCGCCUGGGGAGUACGGCCGCAAGGCUAAAACUCAAAGGAAUUGACGGGGGCCCGCACAAGCAGCGGAGCAUGUGGCUUAAUUCGACGCAACGCGAAGAACCUUACCAAGGCUUGACAUACACCGGAAAGCAUUAGAGAUAGUGCCCCCCUUGUGGUCGGUGUACAGGUGGUGCAUGGCUGUCGUCAGCUCGUGUCGUGAGAUGUUGGGUUAAGUCCCGCAACGAGCGCAACCCUUGUUCUGUGUUGCCAGCAUGCCCUUCGGGGUGAUGGGGACUCACAGGAGACCGCCGGGGUCAACUCGGAGGAAGGUGGGGACGACGUCAAGUCAUCAUGCCCCUUAUGUCUUGGGCUGCACACGUGCUACAAUGGCCGGUACAAAGAGCUGCGAUACCGUAAGGUGGAGCGAAUCUCAAAAAGCCGGUCUCAGUUCGGAUUGGGGUCUGCAACUCGACCCCAUGAAGUCGGAGUUGCUAGUAAUCGCAGAUCAGCAUUGCUGCGGUGAAUACGUUCCCGGGCCUUGUACACACCGCCCGUCACGUCACGAAAGUUGGUAACACCCGAAGCCGGUGGUCCAACCCCUUGUGGGAGGGAGCUUCGAAGGUGACAAUU
rnacentral:rRNA from 1 species